GACGGGGGAUGCAAGCGUUAUCCGGAAUUAUUGGGCGUAAAGCGUCCGCAGGUGGACAUACAAGUCUGCUGUCAAAGUGCAGAGCUUAACUCUGUAAAGGCGGUGGAAACUGUAGGUCUUGAGUAUGGUAGGGGUAGAGGGAAUUCCCGGUGUAGCGGUGAAAUGCGUAGAUAUCGGGAAGAACACCAGUGGCGAAAGCGCUCUACUGGGCCAUAACUGACACUGAGGGACGAAAGCUAGGGGAGCGAAAGGG
rnacentral:rRNA from 1 species